rnacentral:rRNA from 1 species
UGGGGAAUAUUGGGCAAUGGGCGAAAGCCUGACCCAGCAACGCCGCGUGAAGGAAGAAGGUUUUCGGAUCGUAAACUUCUUUCCUUGGUGAAGAUAAUGACGGUAGCCAAGAAGGAAGCCCCGGCUAACUACGUGCCAGCAGCCGCGGUAAUACGUCGGGGGCAAGCGUUGUGCGGAAUGAUUGGGCGUAAAGGGCGCGUAGGCGGCCUGGUAAGUCUGGAGUGAAAGUCCUGCUUUUAAGGUGGGAAUUGCUUUGGAUACUGUCGGGCUUGAGUGCAGGAGAGGUAAGUGGAAUUCCCGGUGUAGCGGUGAAAUGCGUAGAGAUCGGGAGGAACACCAGUGGCGAAGGCGACUUACUGGACUGUAACUGACGCUGAGGCGCGAAAGUGUGGGGAGCAAACA